UGCUGAGUUUUCUGCCAAAUUUCAUAACACUUCCUCUUCCUCUGGGACUGCCUAGAAAAUAGUAAAUAAGUCAGAUUUUAAAAAACCAAACAAACCCAUUCAAGGUCUCAUUCAAGAGGCUUUAAGCGAGUUGCAACAGCAGGAGCUGCUGGAAGAGGUGUCCUGGAAGACAGAACUUGCUGCUGGAGGAGGCUUUGCACUGAUCCUGGUAUACAAGAACACAGGCUGGAGCAGAGGGAAGGUGAGAAAUUGGGUCCACAUGUAUUUGUCCCUCCUCGAGAAGGGAGAUCAGCCCUGAGGCUCAUUCCCAGCUGGAGUCCUUGUCAGGAGGCCAAUAUUGUUAUCUAGGGCCUGGCUGGUGUUUCUUCUUUGGACCUUUGCCACCGCAGUUAAAAUAUCUCUUCCACCACUCCCAGCAUGUAAAGGUCACGUUCCAGAGAUUAAUCUGGAGUCUCCCAGGCCAGCUCCUUGGCUUGGGAUCCCUGUUGGGACCGACACGAAGCAAAAGCCUCGGGAUGCUGGAUGUGCACUCCCAGUGCUGGAGAUCCCCUGGCUGGGAGUGGGCUUGUCACCAGCGCCAGGUCCAAUGUCCUCCGUGAGCUGGACAUGGAGUUGUGGACAAUUCUGAGCUAAACAGAAGCCAAUUCCCCCUGGAGAAAUGGUUAAUUCCUUGUAAAUCUGCUCCUAGCCCUCAGCCAAGCAGCCCUGGGAAGUCCAAGUUUGCGAAACAAGCAUUGGAGGCAUCGAGUUUGUUUGACCAGCUCUUACAGCUGGUCCUGCGCUUGGUUUUUGUCCAAACAAGUCCUGGAAUGACAGGAACGGCUUUCCAAGUUCAAUACAAGAGGAGAGUAAUUGAGUGCCUGAGGAAUGUGUAUCAGUGGGACCAUCUCUAAAUGAAGGGAUAAGUUACACCUAAGAAGCAAAGGAUGUGUGGGCAAGGAGAAGGGGAACAGAAAUUCCAUUAUCCCCAGGGAAAGAGGAGUCGAUAGCCUGUGGCCCAGGAGAUGGGAAGGACAGUGGGAGCUGCAGCAUGUCCUCUGCAGAGACACAAACCUUCAUACCAGCACCAUUCUCCCAGCUGGAUGGACCAAACCUGCAGCAUCCAAAUGUGCACGAAGCAGCUUAGGACAAUGCAAGGGUUCCUUCCCCGUGCCUCCCAGGGCUGCUCCUGAUGUCAGCUGGGCUUUCCCAGGAGAGGUGGUGGUGGUGCUCCCUGGAACUACUGCCUUCAUUCUCUCCCCGUGAUGAGGAGACCUUUUUGAGGAAAUCUUGGUUAUCCUGGCAACACUGCUGACAUGGACACCACUGAUACUCCAGGCUGAGGAUAAGGGAACACUGUUCCACCACAAGCAGGCUGUGCAACCUCCAUCCUUGGAGCUUUUCAAGACCCAGCUGAAUAAAGCCCUGCAUAACCUGGUCUGACCCCAGAGCUGCCCCUGCCAUGACCAGGAGGUUGGACUGAGAUCUCCUGAGGUUCUUUCCAACCCAAGUUAUCCUGUCAUACUCUGAUCCAAGGAUCCCAAACACGUCAGCGAUGGAGCAGCACCAGGACCUGUGGCUCCACUGCACUGAGCCCUGGGUCUCUGUCACACACUGGGAGAGUCAUGGGGAGUUUUACUGAGGCCAGCAGAGAGACAGAUCCCUUUGUUUCAGCUUCCACAUGAACUUCACCCUGCAACCUCCCACGAAAGCCAGUAAGUCUGGACCAUGAACCCUCUAGCUGGUGACAUUUAAUGACACUCACCCCGGGCUGGUAGCUGUCAUUAAAACUGAACCACAGACUCAUGCAGAAACAACACAGUCUCAUCGUCACUGGGAUCUACCUCUUCCUGGUUAGGAAACACCACGAGAAAGACCCUUCCCUUAGCUAAGGCCUGCAGGUGUUUCCUGGUGAUUCCAGGCAUGGGAACUGUCCAAGCUGUCCCUUUCAAUGAGUCAGUCAUGGGGCGUCCACGGCAAAGCCUUGGAGCCACAGAUGGAACCCUCAGGGCUCCGUGAUUUUUAGAACAAAUAGAUCAUCCGAUAAGAAAACCCCAGGCAGAGAUAAUUUCAGGACCAGGUAUUUCCAAGGGAAGUGGAUGGAGAUUUCUCUCCAGAUGGAUAACCACCAGGGAGAGGGAUUGCCUCCAGUUUACACAGGAGUGAGUCACUCACCUUCCUGUGGCAGGAGGAAACCCUCUGCAGAUUGGCACUGCAGGGACCUUCCCUUUGUAAGGAGGCUGCUAUUUUGGGAUAAAAUGCUACAAUGCUCUGCUUCUUCCUGUGUCCCUCAGGGCCAGCAGCAUGGGCUGGGGAAUCCCUGGCACAGUGGUGACCCUCCACACCACCCUGGCUCUGUGCUUCCUGCUCCAACCCAAACUAUUCCGUGAUCUUCCAUGAGGGCCGUGAGGAGUUAGGACGUGAUCAUCUCACACCAACGUGGUUUUAGGGCGUGUGGGAAGUCUGCUGAUGAACUGCUGGGUACCCUCUGCUCUGAAACUCAGCUCUCAAUGAGCAACCCUAAACCCCAAUGUGGCAGGGGCUAAAGGGCAGGAGCGUGGGACCAGCAUCCACAGGAACUGGGGUACGAGCUCCGCACCAAGCCCUGGCUCCUCAGAAUAACUGAGACUGGGGGAGUUAUCUGCAGUUUCUGCUCCAAGCCUGACCUUCAGUGAGGUCAGGUUUUGUCAAGGACAGGCUCGGCUGCCUCCAAGGAUGGAGAUUUUCCUACUCCCCAGUGGGACCUCUCCAGCUCCUCCGGAAGCCCUGCCUCCCUCAAGCCAACCAUGCUCCCCAGCCUGGUGCUGUUCCCAAGCUCCCUGAGCAUUCCCGUUCCAUCAUGCAGGGGGUUACAGGAGUGAUGAAGGUUGUUCAAAGAGUUCUUGAGCCUGUCCUGGCCCUUCAGGACCCCCUGUAGUGUGCAGGAGAGGAUAUCCCAAGUGCAGCUGCAGUGGGACAUUGUGUGGGUGGGAUCAACAGCCCACAGCCAGGCAUUGGGUUAACCCCUUCACAUCCCUUCUCCUCCCAGCUGUCCAGUCACUUCUUGAAGAGUUCAUGGUGUUUCAUCCACAGGCAAGAGAAAGGAAAAGUCAUUGGGUGUUUCUGCUUGGAUUUAGGAGCAGUUUCAUCUUAGGGACGUCAUCUCAGGACAUGGCAGCAUCUGCAUGGCCAGCUGGUGUUAGAGGACAGCACUUAGGCCAUGUCCCUGUGCCACCCAAUGACACCCUCAUUUGGGGUCCCCGUGUCACUUCUUGUCCCCAGGAUGUCAGUGAGGAGUGAGUGGACCUUUGGGAAGGAGUGGGAUGAGGGGACGCCACAGAGGGCUGACAAAAACAUGGGCAAGGCAAAGGGCUCUGUUCAGCUCUCAGUGAGAUCAGAAGCAGGUUGGUCCAAGGGACUGCCUAUCCCUGGGAAAUGCCUUUUGUAAUGGGAAAAGGGAUGCUCAGAAGACAAAAAAUGUUCCCACAUCCUGGCAAGGGCAACCUGCACUCCCAGGCAGUGCUUCCUUCCCGACCUUGGCUGGUGAAUCCAUCUCACCCGGGGCACUGAGGUCCUCUGUGUCCACAAAGUGCACCUCAAGCUGAUGCAACCAUGGAGUUACCGUGUCCUACAACCACUGAUGUGUAUCCCAGAUGGCAUCCCGGAGCCGGAGCUAGGAGUGUUAACGGCACGGGGCUGCCCAGGGCGUUCCCGCCUUGGAGGGUGCCCCAUCGUGUUCCAGCCUGAGCUGGGACGUGCCACCACCAGCAACCAAGGGUGGCACAGCAGUGAGCGGUGUCAGCUGCGGAGCUGUCACCUGUCCCCUUCCCGUGGCUGUAGGACCGGUGUGAUUCGCAUCCACAUGGCACCCCCACGUGGGGAAAGCCUGAAGGCUCUGGCCUUCAUGCUUUUCAUGGAAGGAAGGGCAGAAGGAAGGCUGGAAAUGCCUGGUUCAGUGCCACCAUGAGCUUUGAAGGCCUGGAAGAAAUGCUCAGAACAGAGCCGUGGAUGUCAGAUAAUCUCAAGCCCAAUUUCGGGAACAUUAUGGACAUUAUGGCUAAUUAUUCCAGGGAUUAAAUUCAGAUGCGAAUGUUGAAGUGGCCCAACGGGACAACGGAGCGGCCGCUUGGGAGCUGGGAUCCACCACGGUGCCGUCGCCUGAGGAUGGGAAUCAAGGGAGCUCCGUUCCUUAAAGUUCCUCUCCAAAUUUUGUUUUUAUGGCUAAUUUUUUUUUUUCCUGGGUCCAGGAAUACGCUGCAGUUUUCAGCUGCGGGUUUGUCACCAUUGGCUGGAAUUUGGCUCUUGAGUUUUCCAACCUUUAUGUCUCAUCUCUGUUGGGGUUCCCUGAGAGGAGUGUAUUGCGCUAGGACUGUAUUCUGUGCCCUCCUUAAUUUAAAAUGAAAUGAAAUAUA